rnacentral:rRNA from 1 species
CCUACGGGAGGCAGCAGUGGGGAAUAUUGCACAAUGGGGGGAACCCUGAUGCAGCGACGCCGCGUGAGUGAGGAAGUAUUUCGGUAUGUAAAGCUCUAUCAGCAGGGAAGAAAAUGACGGUACCUGACUAAGAAGCCCCGGCUAACUACGUGCCAGCAGCCGCGGUAAUACGUAGGGGGCAAGCGUUAUCCGGAUUUACUGGGUGUAAAGGGAGCGUAGACGGGAUAGCAAGUCUGAUGUGAAAGCCCGGGGCUCAACCCCGGGAGUGCAUUGGAAACUGUUGAACUGGAGUGUCGGAGAGGGAAGCGGAAUUCCUAGUGUAGCGGUGAAAUGCGUAGAUAUUAGGAGGAACACCAGUGGCGAAGGCGGCUUGCUGGACGAUGACUGACGUUGAGGCUCGAAAGCGUGGGGAGCAAACAGGAUUAGAUACCCUUGUAGUC